rnacentral:rRNA from 1 species
AUCCUACGGGACGCAGCAGUGGGGAAUAUUGCACAAUGGGGGAAACCCUGAUGCAGCGACGCCGCGUGAGUGAAGAAGUAUCUCGGUAUGUAAAGCUCUAUCAGCAGGAAAGAUAAUGACGGUACCUGACUAAGAAGCCCCGGCUAACUACGUGCCAGCAGCCGCGGUAAUACGUAGGGGGCAAGCGUUAUCCGGAUUUACUGGGUGUAAAGGGAGCGUAGACGGCAGCGCAAGUCUGGAGUGAACUGC